AAGGUGGACGUGAAACUCCAGGAGCUCAAAGACGCCAUUUCUGGUGGAUCAACACAGAGUAUGAAGGAUGCCAUGGCUGCUUUGAACCAGGAGGUGAUGCAGAUUGGCCAGGCAAUGUAUAACCAGCCUGGUGCCAGUGCUGCUGGGCCUACUCCUGGCGCUGAGGCUGGACCUACGCCUGGUACUGGACCAGCGCAGAAUGAUGGGGAUGUUAUUGACGCGGACUUCACAGAUAGCAAUUGAGGGGUGAUCGAUGCAUGACCAUGUGCUGAGCAAGAUUGGCAUUGAGUGAACAAAUAGUUCCUUUUUUGUGUUGGGAUUGUUACUGUAGGCUCUAGU
rnacentral:lncRNA from 1 species